rnacentral:sRNA from 1 species
UACAAUAGAAUCGGCUCUCUCAAGGGUGGUCGGCUCAUCCCCUAAUAGAAAGGGGGUGAGAAUAAUGACAGUAUAUGAGGCAAUAUCUUUAAUGCUGGGUUGUGGCGUGCUGGUUGCCACAAUAUUUAUCGCAGUAUUCACAGCCAUUGCUGUCAUGAAGAAAGAUAAAUAGACCUCCCUUGAGCCUCGCAAGCAGAAAGGAAGGUCUAUUUCUAAUUAGAGCUUAUGAGCCGAUCCCCUUGUGGGAACGUCUAUUGUACAGGCCGCUUGGUGUUGCCGCACCAGCG